UUUUAAUUAAUUUAUUCAUUGAUCUAUAUGGUUAAAUUAAUGAAUUUAGUUUUAGUUCCAGUAGUAAGAAUUAUAUUAUAUAUUAUUACUUUUGAUUUAGGAAUUGAAUAUGGUUUAUACUGAAAAGUAGAUUUAUAUUUGUGCCAGCAUUCGCGGUUACACAAUUUACUUGAGUUAAUUUUUUUAUUUAUUAAUUUAAUUUAUAUUAAGGUUUAAAGAUAAAUUUAUUUAGGUGGAAUUUAUAAUUUGUUAUAAGGUCUGCAUAUUUGUUUAAGAUAUUUUAUUAAUAAACUAGGAUUAGAUACCCUAUUAUUUUUAUUGUAAAUUUUUUAGAAUGGUAAUAGUUAUGAUCUUUGAGGCUCAAAGAAUUUGGCGGUAAAAUAUCUUCUUAGAGGAAUCUGUAUAUUAAUUGAUACUCCACAAUAGAUUCUACCCUCAAUCUUAUUUGUAUACCGCUAUAUUUUGGAAUGUUACUUAAGUAGACUUUCUUUAAUUCAAUUAAAUUUAUAUUAGGUCAAGGUGCAGUUUUUUGGGGGUUUAUAUGGGUUACUUUUGUUAUAAGUUUUAGGACAGCUAAUUUUAAAAAUUAGCUUGAAUGAGGAUUUAAUAGUAAGUUUAAAUUAAUUUAUUUGACUGAAUUUUGCUAUGUUUUAUGUACAUAUCGCCCGUCACUCCCAAUUAAGUUAGGAUAAGUCGUAACAAAGUAACUUUACCGGAAGGUGAAGUUAGAAUUAGUUA
rnacentral:ncRNA from 1 species